UAAAUAAAAAGCUUUGUUUCUUCCAAC
rnacentral:piRNA from 1 species